CUUAACUGGACCACAGGAUGCCCAGACUUUUAGCCAAACAUUAUCCUGUGUGUGUCUGGGAGACUGUUUCUGGAUGACAUGGACAUUUGAAUCCAUAGACUGAGUAAAGCAGAUUGCCCUCCCGAAUGGAGGUAGGCCUCAUCUAGUGAGGUGAAGACGUGACUACAAUGAAAAGGCUGAGUAAGAGGGAAUGCGUCCUACCUGACUUGUUUGAGUUGGGAUCAUGGUCUUUCUCAGCCUUCAGACUCGGACUGAAACAGCAGCUCUUCUUGGAUCUCCAGCCUGCCGACUUUCAGCUUGGAACUUAUGCCAUCAGCUCUCAUGGUUCUCAGACCUUCAGACUUGAACUAGAACUACAAACCAGUUUUCCUGGGUCUCCAACUUGUGGACUGCACGUCUUGGGACUUCUCAGCCUCCCUAAUUGUAGAAUGUUGAAUAUACGUUGAAGAUGCAUUUGAAAGAGAAGCUAAUACAUGGAGCAAGAACUGAAAGCAGAAAGAAGAUGGAUCAAGAGGACAGAUGGGGAAUCAAUAAAAAUAUGAAUGGAGAAACUUUGCCCUGAACUGGGAGGCAGAAAAUCUAGGAUCUAGCUCUGGUCCUGUCUGCAGAAAGCGAGGCACACAUCACCAGCAAGGAAGAUGGUGGUUCCAUGAAUAUGAACACACAGAAAAAAAUAAACAGACAUCUGAGGAGCACAUGUGGAAGCCUCUACAGAAGAAAGACUCAACCUAUCCAUGAGAAAGCAAAAUCAAUGGACCAGAUUAAAAUUUGCAAAAUAUCCUUCUCAAAUAAAAAAAUAACAUUGCAAAUAUCAAGCAGUUGAGAAGAUCUCAUUAGAGAUAUCAAGCAUGAAAAACAUAAUAUAGAAAUAAUUUAAUUUCUUAGGGAGAUUGAGAAAAACAGUAUCAAAAAUUAUUUUGAAAAAGUUUAUAUGACUCUAUUGAUUAAAAUUGAGAUUUUAGGAAACAGAUUUUUUUCCUAUUUGGUCAUUGAAUAUAUAUUAAACAGUUCCUCAAACCUUUGUUUAUGACUCAUUCUUUAGCAGAAAGAAAACAGUAGGGCAAUUCUUUGCAAAAAAAUCAUUUUUCAUAAAUAACACCUAUAGUAUAUAAAGACAUACUUUCUGUAUAUACUUUGACACAGAAGUAUGUAGAGGAAAAUUAAAAGUAUCUUUUCAACAUCUCUCUCAACAGUUUGCUUUUCUUUUUCUUUAACAUAAGUAGGAUAACACUAUGUUAUUCUGUAACUUGCUUUUUUCACAUAAAAUAUAUAUUUUGAAUAUAUAAUAUAUAUAUUCUCAUGUCAGAACUUAUACCUCAUUUCUUCUUUUUUAAAAAUGAUUUUUCUUGACUUUCUACUUUAUUUUAAAAAUGUACAUGAUUAUAUGCUCAUUAUAAAAAAAUCAAACAACACACGUGUAUAUAAAGUCAAAAUUUCCUUUCAUCUAUCUAUUCCUUUAUCCUUUUAUCCAUUUACACAUACACCCAUGGAAAAUAUGUGUGUAUGUGUGUGUGUAUUUUCAGUGCUGUGAAUUUAAGGACUGGAAAGACAGAAAAAGAGACUUCCACUCAGAUAGGUAAUGAGAGAAGAAUACAUUGGUUUCCAUUCCACACUGGUAUAUAAAUUUGAACUUUCGUGUUGUAAUUUGAAUAUAAAUGGAAUCAGACUAUGUAUAUGACCCCACAAUUUAUUUUUUCACUAGAUAAUUUUUCUUGGCAACCAUCUCAGGUUAGCAUAUGGAACUAACAUAGUAUUCAUGAAUGAGAAUUCUCAGUUUUACCAUUCCAGCCCAGAUAGCAUCUAAGUCUUUUACCAGAACUAUUUGGAAUUCUAUUAGAUUUAAACUUAUUCUAAAGAUAAAACCACAUGUUUUCUAUAAAGAUUUUUCUGAAUAAACAGUGGUAAUACACAAACAUCCGUCUGGAACAAACAGUAGCAAACUAGAUACAGUAUUUGAGUCUCCCGUUCAUCAGAGUUUAUGGAGUUGAGUGACACUGCGGAUGCAUUCCAUCCCCUGGGCAACUCUUGGCCUUUCCAAAUAUUGCACUUUAAAAACUGGAAUGAAUUAUGAUGAAAUAUCAAGUAAUUAUUAGUCUAAUAAUUUUCUAUAAAAAAUUGGAAGAACGUAUUUAGGAGACUUUCACAAACACAAAGGAGACACAUAUUUAUGGUAACUAUUUAAUUUUAAUAACAGUGCAAUUCAGAAGUAGUCUUCAGGGGCUGGCACCAUGGCCAAGUUGUUAAGUCUGUGCUCUCUGCUUCGGCAGCCCAGGGUUUCACAGGUUUGGAUCCUGGGCGUGGACCUAGCACUGCUCAUCAAGCCAUGCUGAGGUGGUGUCCCACACAGCAGAACUUAAAGGACCUACAACUAGAAUAUACAACUAUGUACUGGGGGGCUUUGGGGAGAAGAAAAAAAAAAGAGGAAGAUCAGUAAUAGAUGUUAGCUCAGGGCCAAUCUUUAAAGAAAAAAAAGAAGUAGUCUUCUUCUUUCUUCCCAUUGUUUUCAUUAAAAUAGCCCAGCUUUUCUUUUGUGGGUUAUGUCUCUGAUUUAGUUUAACUAUAUUAAUAGAACUUACUGGUUUAUAGUAAAAAAAAAAAGAUGCUAUUUUUUCAUAGUUUUUACUACUAUACUCAUGAAAUUUUGUAGAAUCAUUGGAAAAGUCUAGAGACACAAAGUUAUUUCAGUUUGGUUCUUCAAACAUAGGUUUGUAUUCUUUUUAAUCCUGGACAUUAAAUAAGCUCACAUUUUUUGUUAGACUUGUUGACUCUCACCUUAUUUUUAAAAAUCAAAAAUUUUACAGAGAAUCUUUUUCAAUUACAAUUUUUUCUUCAAUUACUUUACAUUUGAAAAUAUGAGAACAAAGAGAAAAAAGCAGAAAGAAAAUAAAAAGACGAGCAAUAAGGAGUUCUGUAUACAGUUCAGAGUGAAUAGUCUCCGGUAAAAACCAAGAAAUACUGCUACCAACUGACAACGGGUUAAACAAACAGUAGUUAAUUCAUCAAAGCUUCAGGUUGCCCUUAUUCAAAACAAAAUAAUUAUUUCCCUCUCUUUGUUCCAAUUGAUUAUUUUUGUAUUGUCUCUUCUGCUAAAUAGGUAUCCUUAUGGAGAGAGUGAAUAUCUUAGUUCCCUUUGUCUCCCCACAAUAGGACACAAAGGGCACCUCUUUGCUUCUCAAUACAUUACUUCUUGAAUUAAUGAAGUACGACAUUCAUGGUUUUUUCUUGGCAUCAUCUCCGGGUUGGGGCAAGAAAACAAACACAAUUUUAGUUUGCAACACUUCUCCCUGCGGUAGUAACAGGAUUUGUGGUUCCACUAAUCUUUUGUGCAUAUCAUGUCCCUGUUGACAUAAAUUCAUUCUCAUCCUGACUUUGCGGGUACCAAUGUCUCUGUUUUAGCAUCAGAAAAAAAAUACUGACAAUCUAACUCUAACUUGCCUUCUUUAUGUCAAGCUUGCCUUUGGAAUAUUGUGUAAUUAUAGCAAUAACCUACAAAAAUGUCAUUUUAUGUUUUUAUGAAGCUUUACGUUAUAAAGCAUUUUCACAUGUAUUAUUUUAUUUUGUCUUAACUACAUUAUAGCAUCACUGCUGUUAAGCAAAAAUAUGAAAAACUUUAAAGUAAGGUAGAAGCUUCAUUACAUGUGCUUUCAGUGUCACACUAGAGCAUUGGGCUCACUCAAGAAUUUUUGAAGUCUCUAGAGCAAUGAACCUCUUUUGGACAUACUCUUUGUUACUGAUCAGAAUCCAAACUCAUUAAAGUUACAUGUUACCUUGUAGAUUUUGUCUGGUAGAGAUGCAAAUAAUUUCUGUCUGGUUGAAAUUAUAACCAAAGCAUAUGGUUUUAUUGUCCUUUGUGAUGUUCUCCACGUUUGUAUCUAGUCUAGAAAUCGAACAUUUUUUGUUCAUUGCAUGUUAAUGCUCAGUUCCUCAAAUGUCCUUUGAAUCAGGUUACCAUCCUGCUUCCCUAACUGACAAGUUAAAUAAAUCUUUCAUGUGUACUUAUUCUUUGUUUGUAUAAUACCUGUGAUUGUUAAUGUUCUUGAAAAAUUUUUCUUUGAUAUUACCAUGCUCAGUCUCAAUUAGCUUCCUUGAGUUGAUCAUGAAG
rnacentral:lncRNA from 1 species